UACAGAGGGUGCGAGCGUUAAUCGGAAGUACUGGGCGUAAAGCGCGCGUAGGCGGCUUUGCAAGUCGGGUGUGAAAUCCCCAGGCUUAACCUGGGAACUGCAUUCGAGACUGCAUUGCUAGAGUAUGGGAGAGGGAAGUGGAAUUUCCGGUGUAGCGGUGAAAUGCGUAGAUAUCGGAAGGAACAUCAGUGGCGAAAGCGACUUCCUGGACCAAUACUGACGCUCAUGUGCGAAAGCGUGGGGAGCAAACAGG
rnacentral:rRNA from 1 species